rnacentral:lncRNA from 1 species
UUCAGGUGAUUACAAGAGUCUAAUGGUGGAGGGUUAAAUGAAACACAGCAGAGAUAACAUCAGAACAUGCGGAGGAGACCUCCUGCUGUGCAAGGGGAAUGGCUGGUAAACUGCUUUUAGUGAUCUCUGGUGCCCAGCAGUGAAUUGACACAGCUAACUCACACCUUCUCGUGUUUAUUUUCAAGGAAAAGCAUCAUAUUUCUCUUAUGUCUUAUCAAAAUAGAAUUCCCAAGGACGAAUGGUUAGUCAUCUGGAGUAGGGCCAGGAAAAAAAGCUAACUUUUGUAGGCAGGACUUCAGGGUUUAUCCAGAUAGACCUGUAUGAAAAGCACACAGGGCUGAUUUCACUUAUUGAUGAACAGGGAUGGCUGCUGCUGCCCACGUGGCAGCACAAAUGUUUUUCCACACACUCAGGCCAAUGGAGGAGUGUUUUUGUAGGGGGUGAGGCUGCGGAACAGGAUCUAACCUCAGUUAGCUCUAGUCCUCCUUCUGUGCCCAGUCAGGAAACAAAGUCACACCUUGGAAAGUCCUGGUAA